rnacentral:rRNA from 1 species
AAUGAACGUUGGCGGCGUGGAUUAGGCAUGCAAGUCGAGCGAGAACCCCGCAAGGGGGGACAGCGGCGCAAGGGACAGUAAUGUGUAGAUCAUCUGCCCUCAGGUCCGGGAUAGCUGCGGGAAACUGCAGGUAAUACCGGAUAACAUCUCCGGAUCAAAGGUGUGAUUCCGCCUGAGGAUGAGUCUGCACCCUAUUAGCUAGUUGGCAGGGUAACGGCCUACCAAGGCAUUGAUGGGUAGCGGGUGUGAGAGCACGACCCGCGUCAUUGGGACUGAGACACUGCCCAGACACCUACGGGUGGCUGCAGUCGAGAAUCUCCGGCAAUGGGCGCAUGCCUGACCGAGCGACGCCGCGUGUGGGAUGAAGGCCUUCGGGUUGUAAACCACUGUCAGAGGGGAUGAAAUGCAGGUGGGUUCUCCCAUCUGUUUGACAUAGCCUCAGAGGAAGGACGGGCUAAGUUCGUGCCAGCCGCCGCAGUAA